rnacentral:rRNA from 1 species
UACGUAGGGUACAAGCGUUGUCCGGAAUUAUUGGGCGUAAAGAGCUCGUAGGCGGUUUGUCGCGUCGGCUGUGAAAACCUGGGGCUCAACCCCGGGCCUGCAGCCGAUACGGGCAAACUAGAAUUCGGUAGGGGAGACUGGAAUUCCUGGUGUAGCGGUGAAAUGCGCAGAUAUCAGGAGGAACACCGGUGGCGAAGGCGGGUCUCUGGGCCGAUAUUGACGCUGGAGGAGCGAAAGCGUGGGGAGCAAACAGG